GUAGGGAAUAUUGGGCAAUGGAAGGAAUUCUGACCCAGCCAUGCCGCGUGCAGGAAUACAGUCCUAUGGACUUUAAACUGCUUUUAUUAUAGAGUAACCUGGGGGACGUGUCCCCCACUGCAAGUAUAUAAUGAAUAAGCAUCGGCUAACUCCGUGCCAGCAGCCGCGGUAAUACGGGGGAUGCAAGCGUUAUCCGGAUUUAUUGGGUUUAAAGGGUGCGCAGGCUGAUCGGUAAGUCAUGGGUGAAAAGUCACUGCUUAACAGUGAUCGUGCCUAUGAUACGGCCGGACUAGAGUUUAAGAGGUGUAACUGGAAUGUGAUGUGUAGCGGUGAAAUGCUUAGAUAUGUCACAGAACGCCAAUCGUGAAGACAGGUUACAAACUUAAUACUGACGCUCAUGCACGAAAGCGUGGGGAUCAAACAGGAUUAGAUACCCGGGUAGUCC
rnacentral:rRNA from 1 species